CCACACGAAGCGAAAUAAGUC
rnacentral:misc_RNA from 1 species